rnacentral:rRNA from 1 species
GACGAACGCUGGCGGCGUGCCUAAUACAUGCAAGUAGAACGAGUUGCGAACGGGUGAGUAACGCGUGGUAACCUGCCUCAUAGCGGGGGAUAACUAUCGGAAACGGUAGCCAAUACCGCAUACCAUCGGAUGUGCCCCGAUGGGAUUGGCUAGUGGGUGGGGUAACGGCUCACCUAGGCGACGAUCCCUAGCUGGUCUGAGAGGAUGACCAGCCACACUGGAACUGAGACACGGUCCAGACUCCUACGGGAGGCAGCAGUGGGGAAUAUUGCACAAGGGGCGCAAGCCUGAUGCAGCCAUGCCGCGUGUAUGAAGAAGGCCUUCGGGUUGUAAAGUACUUUCAGCGGGGAGGCGUUACUCGCAGAAGAAGCACCGGCUAACUACGUGCCAGCAGCCGCGGUAAUAC